UACUUAUCGAACCUUCGAAGCAUAUUUUACACGUAUUUUGCAAAGUAAGUGAAUGUGAUAAUGUUUCAUAUUAUGUUUCAUCACUAUGCGACAGAUGCGCCUAGGUCUUCACGACUUCACGUUGUGAGUACCUACCUGUUUUAAAACUUCGUUCUGCAACAUAUCUUCGUUACUAGUGAUACAAGUGUAAUGGGGGGUAUUUUUAUAUUGCAACAAGGGAAAUCGCUAAUUAAAUUGGAGCUAAUUGUUGGUCAGAACUCAUUAUUAAGAUGCGACAAAUCUACUGUAAACUCACCUUUCAUUAGAAACUGUUACCGGGUAAGUGAAAACGGUUUUGUUGUCUUAAUGUAAUGGCGGAUACAUUUGAACCGAUACCCUGUUGCGCUCGGCUGAUGGUAGAGCAUGAAUGAUAUAAGGGCGCCAGGGCUAUGCGCGGAAGGUACUCUCAGGGUCGUGACGUUAACUAGCCCGUUCUGGUAAUUUGACCAUUAAAUUAUGAACAACGUGAGGUUGUCCGACUGAUCGUGUGAGAUGGAGGUGUGACCUGUCGCGGAGAUCUCUUACAGAAUUCGGAUACCUUAUUGACGGUUUACUUCGGAAGACGGUUGAAGACCUUGACGACUGGAGCUGCUGCUGGAGUUGGAAUAGGAUAGAUUUAUUUUGACUGCUACGUUAGAUGUUGAUUUCCUUACGAGUGCCAAUUCUAGGGCAACUCUAAUAUUUCGAUAGAAAUUAUAUAAUUACUUAAAAGAACCCUGAAAUAUUAAAAAUUAGCUCCAAGCAGCUACAGAUUAAUUUAAUGCAUUACCAGGAUGAACUGGGUUCCAAAUAUAUAGAAUAAGAUUAAAUAAUUAAUUUAGGGUAGCCAUGAGGCGCCUAUCAUAUAGAUCUGAAAAUUAUAAUUAAAUAUGAAUACGUCAU